rnacentral:rRNA from 1 species
AUUGAACGCUGGCGGCAUGCCUUACACAUGCAAGUCGAACGGUAACAGGUCUUCGGAUGCUGACGAGUGGCGAACGGGUGAGUAAUACAUCCGAACGUGCCCGAUCGUGGGGGAUAACGGAGCGAAAGCUUUGCUAAUACCGCAUACGACCUACAGUCGAAAGCAGAGGACCGUAAGGUCUUGCGCGGACGGAGCGGCCGAGGGCAGAUUAGGUAGUUGGUGGGAUAAAAGCUUACCAAGCCGACGAUCUGUAGCUGGUCUGAGAGGACGACCAGCCACACUGGGACUGAGACACGGCCCAGACUCCUACGGGAGGCAGCAGUGGGGAAUUUUGGACAAUGGGCGCAAGCCUGAUCCAGCCAUGCCGCGUGGAGGAUGAAGGCCUUCGGGUUGUAAACUGCUUUUGUACGGAACGAAAAGACUCUUUCUAAUAAAGAGGGUCCAUGACGGUACCGUAAGAAUAAGCACCGGCUAACUACGUGCCAGCAGCCGCCGCAGUAA